rnacentral:rRNA from 1 species
CCUACGGGUGGCAGCAGUGAGGAAUAUUGGUCAAUGGUCGGGAGACUGAACCAGCCAAGCCGCGUGAGGGAGGAAGGUACUGAGUAUCGUAAACCUCUUUUGUCAGGGAACAAAGACUGGGACGUGUCCACGGAUGAGUGUACCUGUAGAAAAAGCAUCGGCUAACUUCGUGCCAGCAGCCGCGGUAAUACGGAGGAUGCGAGCGUUAUCCGGAUGUAUUGGGUUUAAAGGGUGGGCAGGCGGAAGGUUAAGUCCGCGGGAAAAGGACGGGGCUCAACCCCGGCAAGCCGUUGAAACUGGGAAGCUUGAGUUGGAGAGAAGUAAGCGGAAUGCGGAGUGUAGGGGUGAAAUGCGUAGAUAUU